rnacentral:tRNA from 2 species
GGAAGUAGUUCAGUGGUAGAACAUCACCUUGCCAUGGUGGGGGUCGCGGGUUCGAAUCCCGUCUUCCGCUUUCCA